UGUCUGGUAGCCACCAUGCCGGGUCAGACUCCACUGGGAUGAGCCCCUGCUCCUCAGCCUCUUUGGUGACUUUAGCCUCCUUGUCCUUAUCGUCUUCCCCAUUGCCGCCGCUGUGGCAGCUUCGGCAGUAGUGCUGCUGUCCAGUGGGGCGGCCCAGGCCACCAGCUUGGAUAGCCUUGGGGCCCAGUGUGGCCUGUGUUGGUGGUGCCCACUGUGUCAGGCAGUGGCAGGGUGCUGUCCAUAGUCCUGUCCCGGCUCAGCUGCAUGCCCAGGCCCCAGUGCUGGUAUAGGAGGCAGCAGCUGUAGCCUAGGCAGCAGCAGGAAGCAACCUCUGCUUGCCCCUCCCCUCUCCAACAGGCUCAUCAACUCAUAUAAGGACAACAGCAAUGAUUUCAUAUGCCCCAUCUGCUUUGAUAUGAUUGAAGAGGCAUACACGACAAAAUAAGGCCACAGCUUUUGCUAUAAGUAGAUUCACUAGAGUUCGGAGGACAAUAAUAUAUGUACCAAGUAUAACUAUGUUGUGGACAAUACUAACCAUCUGUUUCCUAAUUUGUUGGUGAAUGAGCUCAUUCUCAAACAGAAGCAAAGAUUUGAGGAAGAGGUUCAAAUUGGACCACUCAGUGAGUAGCACCAAUGGCCACAGGUGGUGAAUAUUUCAAGAUUUGUUGGGAACUGACCAAGAUAACCUUGAUUUGGCCAAUAUCAACCUCAUGUUGGAGUUACUAGUUCAGAAGAAGAAACAACUGGAAGCAGAAUCACAUGCAGCCCAACUACAGAAUCUUAUACAAUUCCUCAAGGUUGCAAGAAGAAAUAGGAGAGAGCAACUGGGACACUUCCAGAAGGAGCUAAGUGUUUUGGAAGAGGAUAUUAAAAGAGUGGAAGAAAUGAGUGGCUUACACUCUCCUGUCAGUGAGGAUAGCACAGUGCCUCAACUUGAAGCUCCUCCUGCAUCACACAGUAGUAUUAUGGAUUCCACAGAAUAUAGCCAAUAUCCAGGUUUCAGUGGCAGUUCUUAGACAAAGAAACAGCCUUGAUAUAACAGCACAUUAACAUCAAAAUUAAAAUGGCCCACUGCUCAUUUUGAAGACCUGGAGCACUGUUACUUUUCUACAAGGUUGUCUCGUAUCUCAGAUGACAGUUGAACUGCAAGCCAAUUGGAUGAACUUCAGAAAUGCUUGUCCAAGGUUACUCAAUAUAAAUCAAUAUGAACUUUAGCCACAUUAUCAUGCCCUAGUGAUCUCUAUAAUGAUUCCAGGAUAGUCUCUGGUAUUGAAUUUGACCAGGAUUGUGACUAUUUUGCAAUUGCUGAGGUUACAAUGAAGAUUAAAGUCUAUGAAUAUGGCACAGUCAUCCAGGAUGCAGUGGAUAUUCAUUACCGUGUGAAUGAAAUGACCUCAAUUCCAAAAUCAGCUGUAUCAGUUGGAGUAGUUACCAUAAGAACCUGUUAGCUAGCAGUGAUUAUGAAGGCAUUGUUAUCCUAUGGGAUGGAUUCACAGGACAGAGGUCAAAGGUCUAACAGGAGCGUGAGAAGAGGUGUUGAAGUGUUUCAUUUGAUGGAUCCUAAACUCCUGGCUUUGGGUUCUGAUGAUGUAAAAGUGAAGCUGUGAUCUACCGGUCUAGACAACUCAGUGGCAAGCAUUGAGGCAAAGGCUGAUGUGUGCUGUGUUAAAUUCAGCCGCUCUUCCAGAUGCCAUUUGGCUUUUGGCUGUGCGGAUCAUUGUGUCCAUUACUAUGAUCUUCGUAGCACUAAACAGCCAAUCAUGGUAUUCAAAGGACGCCAAAAAGCAGUCUCUUAUGCAAAGUUUGCGAGUGGUGAGGAAAUUGUCUUUGCCUCAACAGACAGCCAGCUAACACUGUGGAAUGUAGGGAAACUGUACUGCCUACAUUCCUUCAAGGGUCAUAUCAAUGAAAAGAACUUUGUAGGCCUUGCUUCCCGUGGAGAGUAUAUAGCUUGUGGAAGUGAGAACAACUCUCUCAACCUGUGCUAUAAAGCACUUUCUAAGACUUUGCUAACUUUUAAGUUUGAUACAGUCAAAAGUGUUCUGGACAAAGAAGGAAAAGAAGAUGAUACAAAUGAAUUUGUUGGUGCUGCGUGCUGGAGGGCACAACCAGAUGGAGAGUUCAACAUGCUGAUUGCUGCUAACAGUGAGGGUACAAUUAAGGUGCUAGAAUUGGU
rnacentral:lncRNA from 1 species